UUUACCACCACUUCCUAUAAUAGAGCUUGGUGUUCUUAUCUAAGAUUUUGAGUAGAUCUUGUGCUCUAGGAGUUUUGGAUUGAAAUCCUGAUGCCACAUUGGCCUAUUUCCACCUCUAGAGCGAUAUCUAGUGCAACUCGUUGAAGUAGGUCCUUCAACACGUGUUGUACACUUUGUAGCAGCAAGGUUUGUUCCUCCACAACCUUGUGCUGCUUCAGGUGUCAUGUGGAAGGAGGCCCCAGAAUCAAGAAUCUAGAGCAAAGAUGUACCUGACGAAGAGUGUGGUGGUGGAUCAGACGUCUGACCAUCAGAACUAGCAGAACCUAAGGAUGGUGCAGAAGCAGCAAGGCGGCGCAGCAAGGUGAGCAUCUCCUGGUGAACCUUCUGAAGGUAGCCCUCACGAGAAUUAGAGGAGCCUCCUGGGUCCAUACGAGGAUGGCCAACACGGCGACCGUGUCUCUUCCUCUUGAUGCACUCGAUGAUCAUGUGACCAUCCUGUUUGCUAUAGGUGCAGAAAGCACUUGUGGAGGCUGCUGGCACCGGUGUAGGAGAGGGCACACCAUGCAAUAGCGGUGAAGCGUGGGCAGCCAGGACUGCUUAAGAGGACGACAACAAGCCCGUGCUGCGUAAACGUAACUCCUCAGAUCGCACCUCAGCAAGGGCCUCCAGAGAGAGCUGAGGAUGGCGUGCCAACAGCUGAGCACGACUCUGCUCGAACUCCGGUUGGAGGCGAGUGAGGAAUUCGUAGAGGCAACGAACCUCCAGCUUAGCUUGUUGCUGCACACAACACUGACAUCUGUGACAAACAUCAGCUCCCAGAUAGCCCAAUUGGCACCACACAACCGAUAUCUCCUAGUCAUCCACAGUAGCAUCUCCCUAGCAUCUCCCUGCUGUAGUUGUUGCUCUUGACGAACAACAGAGAGAUACAUGCCAUCCCCCGUAGAUUCGUAAUGACGGUGAAGGCGCUCCCACAUCUGAUGGUAAGGGCCACCACAUCCAUGGUGAGAUCAACAUCCAUGCUGUUCACCAAGAUAGAAGAGGCUCGAGCAUCAUCAUUUGUCCAUUGAUUUCACAGGUGAAGUUGAUUAUGAUACUCUUCUCUUCAGUGGCCUCCUCAAAGGCAUCUAGCAUCUCACGUUGAUCGGUAUUACCGUCAUCAACAGGGAAGGCCACCUUAGCCAAAGGAGUGGGCAGCAGAGGACAGGCCAGAGCACCUGUGAGGUGCUCCCAGACCAGCUGGCCCCUCAUGUGCAGCUUGAUGUACUGCACCCAGUCCUUGUAGUUCCGUGCAUCAAAGAUAACAGGACAUCGGGGGACUAGAACAGCACCGGUGGUGGUGGAGGACGCCAUUCUAGCAGGGGCUUCAUGGCGGCAGCAGACCAGGAGGAGAAGAGCAGCAGCAAGGGGCGCAGAGGAUCAAACACCCAGUUUUCUUGUCUGGUGCAGGGCACCACUUCCUUUUGGUCCUGGGAAGCAGCAAGGUGGGGAAGAAGAACCAGGAGGCUGGCGGCGUAGCGAUGGCGGCGCCGGCCGGGAAGGACAGAUAGCAGCGGCAUAGAACGGUGGUGGCUACCAACAGCAGGAUCAGCUCAGGUCUGCCAGGAAGAACAGGGGAGAGGCUUGAUGGAGAGAGGGUGGCGGUUGAGGAACCUAACCCUUGCUCUUAUGCCAUGCUAAGAUGUGAGCUUCUAUUAAACGGGCCAACAUGCCAACUGUACAUAUACAUGCGAAGGAAAUAAGCAAAGAAGCCCCUAUACAAUAUGAUAACUACACACAGCUCAACCCUGUUCUAACAUGUGGAAGUUAGCUAUCCACGUGCCAGAACCAUGACUAGGAUUCAAGAUCUUAUGGGUUUCAACUCUAGCCUACCCCAACUUGUUUGGGACCAAAAGGAUUUGUUCUUUAUCUCAAUACAAACGAGCAUAUACUUGAAGAUGUUACUUCCCUUUGUAUUUGUUGACAAGUUAAUUUUCUUGUUCUUAAAAAAUAAAUACUCGCCACGUUUUAUUCGAUGCGGUCCAUGCUCCAUUUCAUCUCAAGGAGUUAGUUGGCAUAUGCUAAUAUUUGUUAUGAGUAUUGAACUGCUAUGGUAACAAAGCACUGAC
rnacentral:lncRNA from 1 species